rnacentral:rRNA from 1 species
GAUGAACGCUAGCGGCAGGCUUAAUACAUGCAAGUCAAGGGGGUAGCAAUACAACCGGCGCACGGGUGAGUAACGCGUACACAACAUACCAUAUACUGGAGUAUAGCUUUGGGAAACUGAAGGUAAUCCUCCAUAACAUUGCGAGAGGGCAUCUGAUUGCAAUUAAAGUUUCGGCGGUAUAUGAUUGGUGUGCGUUUGAUUAGCUAGUUGGUAGGGUAACGGCCUACCAAGGCGACGAUCAAUAGCUGGCGUGAGAGCGCGACCAGCCACACUGGAACUGAGACACGGUCCAGACUCCUACGGGAGGCAGCAGUAGGGAAUAUUGGACAAUGGAGGAAACUCUGAUCCAGCCAUGCCGCGUGAUAGAUGAAGGCCCUCUGGGUUGUAAAUAUCUUUUAUCUGGGAAGAAACACUCCUAUUCUUAGGAACUUGACGGUACCAGAGGAAU